CCUACGGGAGGCUGCAGUGAGGAAUAUUGGUCAAUGGGCGUAAGCCUGAACCAGCCAAGUCGCGUGAGGGAUGAAGGUUCUAUGGAUCGUAAACCUCUUUUAUAAGGGAAUAAAGUGUGGGACGUGUCCUAUUUUGUAUGUACCUUAUGAAUAAGGAUCGGCUAACUCCGUGCCAGCAGCCGCGGUAAUACGGAGGAUCCGAGCGUUAUCCGGAUUUAUUGGGUUUAAAGGGUGCGUAGGCGGAUCGUUAAGUCAGUGGUCAAAUUGAGGGGCUCAACCCCUUCCCGCCAUUGAAACUGGCGUUCUUGAGUGGAAGAGAAGUAUGCGGAAUGCGUGGUGUAGCGGUGAAAUGCAUAGAUAUCACGCAGAACCCCGAUUGCGAAGGCAGCAUGCCGGCUUCCGACUGACGCUGAAGCACGAAAGCGUGGGGAUCGAACAGGAUUAGAUACCCCAGUAGUC
rnacentral:rRNA from 1 species